rnacentral:lncRNA from 1 species
AGGCCAAUGAGGUCUUCGACGAGUUCAAGUACGAGGCGCUUCGUCGGAAGGCUAAAAAGGAGGGACACUACAAGGAGCUUGGCUUCAGUGUGGUAAAACUCUUUCCCACCCACAAUCGUUUUAUAUUCCGUAACAGGAUGGGAAGAAAGCUCCGCAAGAUUGUGCGGGCCGUUGGGGUCCUUGUGGCUGAAAUGAAGGACUUUGACUUCAAGCAUCAGCAACCACUGCAGGUGUACAGCCAGUGGCGAUAGAAGGAUCAUGAUAUCUUUGAUCCGGAGAAAAUCACCAGCAGAUCGAGAGCAAAAGAUAGGAAGAAGCUUGUUGAUAUACUGGUUGGUCAAGCUAACAAUGCAGAUCUCACAGUUGUUCCCAUCGUUGGAAUGGGUGGUCUGGGAAAGACCACGUUAGCUCAACUUGUCUACAAUGACACUGAAAUUCAGAAGCAUUUCAAUUUGCUGCUAUGGGUGUGUGUCUCUAACAACUUUGAUGUGGAUUCUCUGGCUAAAAUUAUAGUUGAAGCAGCUCUCGAGAAAAAUGGCACAGAAGCAGCUACUUCCAUGAGGAUGAAGACACCGCUGGAUGGCCUUCAGAAUGUAUUGAGCGGGCAAAGGUACCUCAACUGAGGACCCAGGCAAGAUUGGAUAACGUUGGAUCGGAUAACGUUGUUGAUGAACCUAGCAGUCGGGAUGAUGCAAAAGUGCUCGAGGAACUUAAACCUCAUGAUGGGCUGCAUGCUAUAAGGAUACACACCUAUGGAGGCACCACCUUUCCAACAUGGACACCUAUGUUGCAAAACAUUGUUGCGAUCCAUAUUUCUCAUUGUAACAAACUGCAAUGGUUCUAUAGCGGUGACAUUAACACAUCCUUUGCAUUUCCAAAUCUGAAGGAGCUUACGUUGCAAGAGCUUGUCUGCUUUGAGAGAUGGUGGGAAAUAGAUAAUGGAACGCAAGGAGAAGUGGUGAUGUUUCCUCGGCUUGAGAAGUUGCGCAUUAGUCAGUGUGAAAAGUUGACAGCAUUGCCAGGGCAACCGACCUUCCCAAACCUCCAGAUCACUCGUAUUGAGGGAUUUCCAGAGUUGACAACUAGAGUUGAAUCACCAAAGCUCAGUGUAUUAAAGAUGGAAGGACGUGAUGUACAGUUGUUUCAGUGGGUAGCCAGGCAUAUGACUUCAUUGACCAAUGUUGAACUGCAUAGCCUUGUGGACAGUACAGAAACAACCUCGGCGGCGGCUGAGCAUGGUUUGAGGGAAGUUCUGGAUUGCAAGGAAAAAAGGAAUGAUCAUGAUUUUCCUCUGACAGUUUUGGUGCUACAAAACUUUAAGCCAGGUAUAACAGAGUUGUGUUCAUGUUUUGUACACCUGCAAGAUUUGUCAGUUUGGAGGUGCCAUGCACUCCUCCACUGGCCAGAAAAGGAGUUUGAAGGAUUGGUAUCCUUGAGGAAGCUUGUGAUUCACCAAUGUGAGAAUCUGACUGGAUAUGCACAAGCUUCUACCGAGCCAUCAACAUCGUCAGAAAAGAGUCAGCUCCUUCCACGUCUAGAGUUACUAGUGUUAAGGAAAUGUGAAAGUUUGGUUGAGGUCUUCAAUGUCCCUGCAUCUCUCAGGGUAAUGGAAAUUCUUUAUUGCAAGAAGCUUGAGUCUAUAUCUGGCAGGAGGCUGCUGCAGGGACAGUCAGCAUCGUCGAUUCAUCAAGGGCCAUCUAGUAUAGCAGAGGUGUCAUCAUCAUCCGGAGAUUGGGCGGAGAAUUUGGAAAAACUGAAAUUAGUCGAGUGUCAUGGCUUAACAGGGGCCCUCCAUCUUCCCUCGCCGCUCAAGGCUCUAGACAUUGAUAGUUGCAGUGGGUUGACAUCUCUUGAAUCUAGCUCAGGAGAGCUUCCAUUGUUGGAGUGUCCCUACCUUUGGAGUUGCAAUAACCUGUUAUCCCUACCGGAAUGGCCACAAGCAUACUCAUAUCUCCAAUGUCUCUACAUUAUGAACUGCACUGUUAUAAAGACGCUCCCUAGAAGCCUGCAGCAACGGCUGGGCAACAUCCAGGAGGAACAUGUAGAUGCUCAUUAUUACGGAAGUAAGCAUGCAGCAAUUUCUUUGUUACUCCUUACUAGUCAGCUAAUUGUGCUAGUUGGAUCACUAUAAUAGCAUCACUAGUAGUAUGAGAGAAAAAUGAAGCAAAGUAAAUGUUCUUCAAACCUAAAUUCGUCAUUUCUUAAUUUAUUGAUGUUCCUUGAGUGUAAUUUUUUGCAUUAUCAACCUGUGCAGAUAAGCCAAGGCCUAUCCCUAUCCUGCUCAAACCAAAGACAUGGAAAUGCGCCAUCCGUAGAGAUUAGAGAGCUAUAAACAGAAUCUCAGGGCGAGAAUACCAAUAUCGAAGUUAUUCCAGAGGUUUGUGAUGUAGAAAUAUGCCGACGCUGCCGGAACCUUUGAUUGGUCUUCUUAUUUUUUGCAAAAAGAAUUAAGCUCGUGGAAUUGUUUGCAGAAUUCUUCCAGGACACAGAGACCGGAAAGCGAGAUCACUUGGGGUGGAGCUAUUCUCCUGCGAGACGCACACGAGAAGUUGUUGCCAUGCUGAAUUGCGAGAUCCGUAAUAAGCGCUUCUAUUGGCUAUCAACAUUCUGCUCCCAGAAAAAGAUCUUGUUUGAAUAAUAAGUACUUGUAGCCACCUCCUUUUACCUAAGGUCAUGUCAUUGUAUUUCUUUUCCAACAAGCAUGGCGGUAUUCUUGCCCUGGGCAGUGUCAGUUUUUUGUCGAAAUUCUGUUGCAGAGUUUCCCAGUUUUAUCUAUGGAGCUGUAUAAACAGAGUACCACUGCCAUUUAGAGUUAGUGUUCUGUCUGCUGCAUAUAUCGGCAAUGUUAUUUAUGAAGGAUUUAUGAAGCUGUUGAUUUCCCCUUAAUACUCUGCAUCAA